UGAUGGGUCAAUCUCCUACGACUAUAAUAAAAAGAAUAAAGUGUGAACAAUUUUUUAAUGUAACAAAAUUUGGUUCGUCCGUCUGCCUUUUCGUCCUGCGAACGACACCCCCGCGCGCGCGAUUAGGAAGGUUCUGCCCCAGGACAAAAUCACAGCAUCUCUUUCCUAUGAUGUGGCAUCAAUCACGGCAUUUCUUUCCUACAGUGCGGCAUCUUAUUCCGUCCUCUGCCUCCGCAUCCGGCCCUCCAUUCGCUGGUGCCCGCCGCCGAACCCGGCCCUCCGUUCUCUGGUGACUGGUGUCCACCACCGAACCACCGGAAUCGGCCUGCUGCCCACCGCCGAACCUGGCCCUCCGUUCGCCGGUGACACGGAGAGCACUGCAACGAUGACGCAACCCAGCACGUCGCAUCCUCUGGAUCCGGCCCUCCGUCCACCGGUGGUUGUUGCCCGCCGCCGACCCACCAUGAAUCGGCGUGGUAUCCUGGUGCAAACCAGCGAGUGGGCGUCCUUCGGCUCCCGCGCGGAGAGCACCGUGAAGAGCACGCGGGCGCCCUUUGGCUACACCGCGGAGAGCGCUGCGACGUGCCGUCGCCGAAGUCAACAACCUCCCUGUUUAUGAAAAUAUGUGCUUUAACAAAGAUGCCUGAAUUUCAUAAAAGAUACACUACGAGUGAAAUAGAAUAUGGAGUACAACUUAGCACAAUGCAGAUAUGAAAAGUUACUUAUCAUGAUUGAUUCUAAACCAGUGGAAGAGUGGUGUAAAGAAUACACCAGCGCUGAUGUAUGUCAAAUACACUUUUGGAUUUAGCUACAACUGGAAAAGCUUGGCUGUGGCGGGAUUUAUAACGGGAAAAGCUUGUGGCUGCCAUGUCCGAACUCCAAACCAAACACCCGCCAUCUGCUAGUGGUGAGCCAAACCUGAGGCAGCAGAAUGUGGCGGGGAAGCAAACACCCCCUAAAUUUUUGUACUUCUUACCUAUGCGACACAUACUAAUAUUUACAUAUACAUACUCGAAUGUGUGACAAGAUGGUACGGAGAUACGGCGAACCUUAUUUGUGGAUUUAUUGGCGCAUGAAAGAAAUGGAUAUCGGAAAUUUCUUCCUACCGAUAUUAAACACUAUCUUAGCCACAUCACGGAAAGGUCUAUAAAGUAGAGUUUGUGAGCCUGCGACGUGUUGCUCUCCAUGACUAUGUUAAUUUCAUAACCUUUUUGGGUUGCAUUUACAUUGUUUUAAUGUUGAUACUUAAAUUUUACAGUA